GACGAAGGGGGCUAGCGUUGUUCGGAAUUACUGGGCGUAAAGCGUGCGCAGGCGGUUCGCUAAGACAGAUGUGAAAUCCCCGGGCUUAACCUGGGAACUGCAUUUGUGACUGGCGGGCUAGAGUAUGGCAGAGGGGGGUAGAAUUCCACGUGUAGCAGUGAAAUGCGUAGAGAUGUGGAGGAAUACCGAUGGCGAAGGCAGCCCCCUGGGAUAACACUGACGCUCAUGCACGAAAGCGUGGGGAGCAAACAGG
rnacentral:rRNA from 1 species